GUACAGCUGACUUCCAAUCAGCUAGUUUCGGUCUAGUCCGAAAAAGAAUA
rnacentral:tRNA from 1 species